AUUGAACGCUGGCGGCAGGCCUAACACAUGCAAGUCGAACGAGUGGCGGUCGGGUGAGUCAUGUCUGGGAAACUGCCUGAUGGAGGGGGAUAACUACUGGAAACGGUAGCUAAUACCGCAUACCAUCAGAUGCGCCCAGAUGGGAUUAGCUAGUAGGUGGGGUAAUGGCUCACAUAGGCGACGCUCCCUCGCUGGUCUGAGAGGAUGACCAGACAAACUGGAACUGCGACACGGUCCAGACACCAACGGUGUGCAGCAGUGGGAGAUAUUGCACAAUGGGCUCAAGCCUGAGGAAGCCAUGCCGCGUGUGUGAAGAAGGCCUUCGGGUUGUAAAGCACUUUCAGCGGGGGGGCGUGACUCGCAGAAGAAGCACCGGCUAACUCCGUGCCAGCAGCCGCGGUAAUAC
rnacentral:rRNA from 1 species